rnacentral:rRNA from 1 species
UUCGUCCUCUUUAGGUCGGUCGGUCGUGGACGGGCCGCCGAGCAGGGGGCACGAGGUAAAGGGCAAGGCUAGUCUGUUGUGGGGCCCGUUCCGAGGAGCCUUUUUUAUUUAACUUUGUCGGAGCCAGCAGGCAGGGGUCGGGGGCCAGGGAGUUGGUUCUGGCUUUUAGGAGGGGCGCCGCAGCAGCCCCCGUCGCGGCGGGUCUAGGAGGCCGGUACCUGCCCGAGGACAGGUUCGAGGCCUCGGACCUGCGCAUGGGGUUCCACUUGCUCCUGAAGAUGUCGGCGUGGGAGAGGCCGCCGCGGUAGUGCGAGCGGAGGAGGAAGUAGUACGAGGAGGAGAAGCAGAGGCUCGAGGCUAACAUAGAAGUACGUCAAUGUCUCUGUUGUGAUUCCCAACUAUGGAGUUCUCCUCUUUUUGAAGCGUAUUUAAAACUAUAGUGGAAAGGUCGGGAAGUCACAAGAUAUUAAUCACAACUACACUACCUGUAGUCACCUGUUCUCGUGGAACUACACUUUGUACUACAUAAGUUCGUCGCUUAGCUACGUGUGCCGUUACAAUAACGUUGAUUCGUUCUACGUCAACCACCAUACUUCCACCUUUUUGGAAAUGUUGUAGUACCACCUUCCGAACUUGUGUUACUCUGGAUAACACCGAGUACAAUACCACGUGUUCUUAGAGGACUUGUUACAACAUUGAGCACACUUCUACAGGCACUUCGUAUGUCUUUUUUUCCAACCCCGCAUAGUUUAGGUCUAAGCUAGCUAGUCACGUUUUCGCUCCCGAAGGAAGUUUGUUAUUUCCUACUUCUUCCACUUCCGACGUUGUAAAUACCGUAAGACCUUUAAUUAUUCCAACGACCCUUAAAGGUGAAACGAGGUCCCUUUUCGAAGGUCGUCAGUUUACAAGUACAAGUGCUAGACGAAGGUAAGGUUUUCCUAUCGAAGUUAGAGUCGGUAUUCUAUUUAUUUAACUCAAAACCUCUUGGGAAAGGACCACACUAGUUAGGGGAACUGCCCCGCGUUACCUAGGUCGUAAGUAGCAUACCUUACCGAGUUAUGAAACAAUUCCAACAAGGGUGACAUAUGUGAGUGGAUUUACUCGUUUAAUAAGAGAGGUUAGUCAAAAGACACUGUCUUGUAAGGUCUUCACCGCUAUCACCAGCCCAUGUUCGAGAAGGACCGCACAAAAAGAAAAUACUGGAAAGUGGUUAAUUCCAGUGUAAGUGCCUCGCGGUACACAGUAAGAAUGUGAAGAAUUGAUUACAUACGCGAUAACAACCUCCACACAAGUGACAAAGACCCUAGUAUCUAAGCAAACAGAUGGUACCGGUCUCCCGUUAGUGAUUCUUCUCCCUUGAGCCGUUUAAGUGGACUCAAAAGUUAGUUCGGAAGGAUAACGACAUCUUGGAGGAAAACUUACUGAGAUCAGACAUCGACGUCAUCUUUCGCUCAGAAGACGUUUCAGGAUUUUCACAUGUUGACUUGGUUGUCCGUCCAGAGAAGCAGUGUCGAACACGAGACCUUGAGGACCACGCGACGGACGAAUGAAGGCCGACUUCGACGGUCGUAUGUUUUACCGAGUAGACCACAUGACACUAUAACCAUAUAGCGAGUCCGUUUACCUUGUAAAGUCUCCACGAGUUAAAAACAUGUGAAGUCAGGUGUUCCUGUUUUCAAAACAGCAAGUUUUGACGUUCAAAAACAUAGAAACAUUUAGGCACAUUCGCCCGACAUCUGACAUGUUAUGAGUACUGUCCAAAAUAAAAAGAAUCUGUAAAACAUCGAGAAUGUCCGCUCCAGUUUUUUUUGCGUUUCUGGUAAACUUGCUUUGAUUCAAGUUAAACAGUCCCACAAAAAGCAUUGAAGAGAAGGACAAUUGGAAAAC